GCCUGGGUGGCUCAGUCGGUUGAGCAGCUGACUUCAGCUCAGGGCAUGAACUCAGGGUAUGUGAGUUUGAGCCCCACGCUGGGCU
rnacentral:tRNA from 1 species